GUCGCGUUCUUCUAGUUGGUUCAGGAUGCUGGAACUUCACUCCGGCGACGCGGGUUCAAAUCCCGCACGCGUCA
rnacentral:tRNA from 1 species